ACAGUGGCGGACGGGUGAGUAACGCGUAGGAAUCUACCUUCAGGUGGGGGACAACUCGGGGAAACUCGAGCUAAUACCGCAUAAUACCUAAGGGUCAAAGUGGGGGAUCUUCGGACCUCACGCCGGAAGAGGAGCCUGCGUUGGAUUAGCUAGUUGGUGAGGUAAGGCUCACCAAGGCUACGAUCUAUAGCUGGUCUGAGAGGACGAUCAGCCACACUGGAACUGAGACACGGUCCAG
rnacentral:rRNA from 1 species